rnacentral:ncRNA from 1 species
AAGGAGCAAGCCGAAAAUCCUAAACAAGAGUAGGCA